rnacentral:rRNA from 1 species
AACGAACGCUGGCGGCGCGCUUAACACAUGCAAGUCGAACGAGAAGGCGUAGCAAUACGCUUGUAAAGUGGCGAGCGGGUGAGGAAUACAUGGGUAACCUACCCUCGAGUGGGGGAUAACCCGCCGAAAGGCGGGCUAAUACCGCGUACGCUUCCGAUCUCGCGGGAUCGGAAGGAAAGCUGUCCCAAGGGGAUGGCGCUCAAGGAUGGGCUCAUGUCCUAUCAGCUUGUUGGUAGGGAACGGCCUACCAAGGCAUCGACGGGUAGCUGGUCUGAGAGGACGAUCAGCCACACUGGCACUGCGACACGGGCCAGACUCCUACGGAGGCAGCAGUGAGGAAUAUUGCGCAAUGGGCGAAAGCCUGAC